rnacentral:hammerhead_ribozyme from 1 species
CUGACGAGUCCCAAAUAGGACGAAACGUGCGUU